AGCAGCCGCGGUAAUUCCAGCUCCAAUAGCGUAUAUUAAAGUUGUUGCAGUUAAAAAGCUCGUAGUUGAAUUUCGGGAUCGACGGGUCGGUCGCGCCUCUGGUGUGUACUGGCCCUGUCGGUUUCUCCCUUCUGACGAACCACGAUGUCAUUAAUUUGGUGUCGUGGGAAAUCAGGACUGUUACUUUGAAAAAAUUAGAGUGUUUAAAGCAGGCAUUCGCUUGAAUACAUUAGCAUGGAAUAAUGAAAUAGGACGUUUGAUCUUAUUUUGUUGGUUUCUAAGAUCGACGUAAUGAUUAAUAGGGAUAGUUGGGGGCAUUAGUAUUCAAUUGUCAGAGGUGAAAUUCUUGGAUUUAUUGAAGACUAACUACUGCGAAAGCAUUUGCCAAGGAUGUUUUCAUUAAUCAAGAACGAAAGUUAGGGGAUCGAAGACGAUCAGAUACCGUCGUAGUCUUAACCAUAAACUAUGCCGACUAGGGAUCGGAUGAUGUUAAUUUUUAAUGUACUCAUUCGGCGCCUUA
rnacentral:rRNA from 1 species